rnacentral:rRNA from 1 species
UACGGAGGGUGCAAGCGUUAUCCGGAUUCACUGGGUUUAAAGGGUGCGUAGGAGGGCAGGUAAGUCAGUGGUGAAAUCUCCAAGCUUAACCUGGAAACUGCCGUUGAUACUAUCUGUCUUGAAUAUUGUGGAGGUGAGCGGAAUAUGUCAUGUAGCGGUGAAAUGCUUAGAUAUGACAUAGAACACCAAUUGCGAAGGCAGCUCACUACUCAAUCAUUGACUCUGAGGCACGAAAGCGUGGGGAUCAAACAGG